CUCGUGAGGAAUGCGGAAGUGUCGUUACACGGAGGAGGACUAGUCGGAAUUGGACCAGUUACUGUGGCCUUUGGACCUUCCCCUGCUGUCGUCACGCCAGCGACACUGAUGUUGUACUUCAUCGCCGGAUUCAACUUUUCCAGACGUCAUCCUGGCUGUCAACGUGCGGACAUUUUGUGGCCUCGAGUCUCCAUCUUGAAUCUCGUACCAUUCGAGGCAGGUGAACUUUUUCACUUUUUCGUUCAGUAAUAUUUUAUCACAAGCUGUGAACACAAAAAAAAAAUAAAAUAAUUCAUGAAAAAUUAAUAUAACUUAUGAAUCUUACGUUUUAAAUCGGUCGCCGCGUGCGCCGGAAUCUGUAUGACGGCUUCAGGAGAAGAGCUAGCAGCAUUUCUGGCUACGACGGAGAUGCUAACAGGAGCGUAGGACACGUAUGUUGUGGAUUCCGUGUCCCGGAUGGAACGUGGUUUCGUCUUACAAGGACAACCUCGGGAAGACUGCUGGUCAUUCAGGAUGUAGGUCACUCCCGACACUGCUGCUGCGGAGGAGGCAUGGCGCACUGGCUAAGUGGUAGAUUGCAGAUCAGACACAAUUCCACAGAGCAGUUUGACCUUCCGAAAACCUUCUAAAGCUUCCAGAGUCACGUUGACAUCCAUUUUAUGUUCAAGUUCUGUGUUUAAAAAAAAAACAAAUAAUGGAACCGUCACAAGUGGAGACCAGUCGCUCCACAGUGGGUUGCGGGCCACUGUGGUUUGAUGUCGGAGCUGAAUCUGGUAGGAUGUUUGCUUCUGGAUGUUAUCAAUAACUAACUGGUCUGAUUGAGAAACAAAAACAGUUUUUUUCUUGAAAUAUCUUUGUAAUGAAAAUUUUUCAUCAUUUCAUAUUCCAGGUAUUCCUCAAAAAACAUGUUUUUGAUAUCACGCCAUUCACAUUUUUAAAUUACUUUUUAUACAUUUUAAGAAAUUUUAGUUUUUGUGUUACUACCCCAACCUUCCAUAAGUGGGUCAAAAAUGACCCGGUCAGGUUGUUUUCUUGUAAUAUCUUCAUAAUGAAAAUUUUUAUUUUUUUUCAUAUUCCAAGUAUUCCUAAAAAAACAUGUUUUUAAUAUCAUGCUUUUCACAUUUUUAACUUACCUUUUAUAUAUUUUAAGAAAUUUUAGUUUUUAUGUUACUACCCCAACCUUCCAUAAGUGGGUCAAAAAAGACCCGGUCAGGUUGUUUUCUUGAAAUAUCUUCAUCAUGAAAAUUUUUCAUCAUUUCAUAUUCCAGGUAUUCCUAAAAAAACAUGUUUUUGAUAUCAUGCUAUUCACAUUUUUAAAUUACUUUUUAUACAUUUUAAGAAAUGUUAGUUUUUGUGUUACUACCCCAACCUUCCAUAAGUGGGUCAAAAAUGACCCGGUCAGGUUGUUUUCUUGAAAUAUCUUCAUAAUGAAAUGUUUUUAUCAUUUCAUAUUCCUGGUAUUCCUAAAAAAAAACAUGUUUUUGAUAUCAUGCCAUUCACAUUUUUAACUUACCUUUUAUACAUUUUAAGAAAUUUUAGUUUUUGUGUUACUACCCCAACCUUCCAUAAGUGGGUCAAAAAUGACCCGGUCAGGUUGUUUUCUUGAAAUAUCUCCGUAAUAAAAUUUUUUCAUAAUUUCAUAUUCCAGGUAUUCCUAAAAAAAAACAUGUUUUUGAUAUCAUGCCAUUCAUAUUUUUAACUUAUUUUUAUAAAUUCUAAGAAAUUUUAGUUUUUGUGUUACUACCCCAACCUUCCAUAAGUGGGUCAAAAAUGACCCGGUCAGGUUGUUUUCUUGAAAAAUCUUCGUAAUGAAAAAUUGUUAUCAUUUCAUAUUCCAGGUAUUCCUAAAAAAACAUGUUUUUAAUAUCAUGCUUUUCACUUUUUUAACUAGUCCAGUCACUGGUGCAUCGAAGGGUUAAUGACAUUUUAAGUGUAUUUCCAAUUGUUGGUUGAAUGCCACGCAGGUAAAUACUCACACAUCAAAUUGUUCCCCUGUGUGAAUUCUGUGAGGUUCCGUCUCUGUCACAAAUAAAUCAAACGGUAAUCGACGUUAGCGAAUAGCGAAUGCAUCCAUUGGUUCGCAUAGAAAACAAACAACUCACUUUUUCCCAAGACUGACUCUCAGCUUUUCGAAACCAGACCUCCGCCAUGGCAGGAUGUUUCUCCGCAGCGAUCCAGGUCAUCCUGAGGUGGUUUUGUGUCCAGGAAAUAGACAUGU